GGAACAUCGGCCCAAGAACACGUGUCGCUAAUGCUAAUCAUGAAUUGGAGGGCCUAAAAUCGGAGAGUCCAUUGUUAGUUUGACGAUGAAUACAUAGUGUAUCAUUCAUCCAUUCAUCUGACUGAAGAGGAAGCUGAGGCUGAAGCUUAGAAAUUAUCGAUCCCUCACCGUCGCCUAGUUUAAUUUAUAGUUAGUUCGACCAACCCUAACCCUCUUAACUUUUCCACUGCACUCACUCUCUACUCUCUUUCGACGAUAACAAUGACAGCUCUCUCAAAUUCUUUGGUUCUAACGACAAAUCCUGGGGUUCAGUUAUCUCCUGGCCCAUUGGAUAAAUGUCUCCAGAGUUCCAUGCUCACCAAUUUGUCAUUGGAUAAAUGUCUCCAGAGUUCCAUGCUCACCAAUUUGUCAUUCAGUUUGAAUUGUUCAGGAAAACUGCAACUUACUACCUCCAGAAGGGCAUUCACAGUUAAAGCAGCAAAUAGUGACACUGGAAGGCCAAGCAGUGCUGGUAUCUUUGUUGGUGGCUUUGUUUUGGGAGGACUUAUAGUUGGUGCACUUGGAUGCGUAUAUGCACCUCAGAUUAGCAAGGCAUUAACUGGAACUGACCGAAAAGAUCUUAUGAGGAAACUCCCUAAAUUCAUAUAUGAUGAAGAAAAGGCUCUGGAGAAAACCCGAAAGAUAUUAACUGAGAAGAUUGCACAACUGAACUCUGCUAUUGAUGAUGUUUCUGCUCAGCUUCGAUCAGAAGAUACCCCAAAUGGAGUGGCAGUUAAUUCUGAUGAAAUUGAAGCUGCUAUAUGAGAUGGACACUGUACGUGUUACCGAGUAGAUCAUCUCACCCACUUGUAAUCUUAUGGCUAUAAAUAAUAGCUGAAGCCUGAACUGAUUGCGAUGUCUUCUUCUUCUUCUUCUUCUUAACCGAGCAGUGUGGUUGUUUGUUUAAUUGUUUGUGGAGUCUCAAGUGGGUACAUAUAUCAUGACUUGUAUGAUGCAUCAUUUGGACCUUACUUUCAUAUAAGCUGUGAUUUUGGUGCCCCUGGAUUGCGUGUAUUAUGAAACGCGGAAGACGUUUAUCCAAAUAUUUGAAUUAAGUUAUUUAAAAAUAAUAAAAACAACAACAACAACUCUGAAG
rnacentral:misc_RNA from 1 species